rnacentral:tRNA from 1 species
UCCCUGUGGCUCCAGUGGGUUAAGGAUACAGCAUUGUCACUGCUUUGGCUCAGGUUCGAUCCCUGGCCAGGGAA